UGUUAAAAAAUCCAUCUAUUUGUACUAUUAAAAAUUGGCAUGGUUGAUGGAAUAAUUAGAUAGUGAUACACGAUGUGCCACAUAUACCUCAUGUUGACAUUCAGGGAUUAGUUUUUAACAAUAGAAUUGGAUGGAACUUUUAAUU
rfam:Gossypium arboreum cultivar AKA8401 contig_11659_3, whole genome shotgun sequence.